rnacentral:rRNA from 1 species
UACGUAGGGGGCAAGCGUUGUCCGGAAUCAUUGGGCGUAAAGAGCGCGUAGGCGGUCCGAUAAGUCGGUUGUGAAAACUGGGGGCUCAACCCUCAGAGGCCGACCGAUACUGUCGGGCUAGAGUCCGGAAGAGGCGAGUGGAAUUCCUGGUGUAGCGGUGAAAUGCGCAGAUAUCAGGAGGAACACCAAUUGCGAAGGCAGCUCGCUGGGACGUUACUGACGCUGAGACGCGAAAGCGUGGGGAGCAAACAGG